AGUGAACGCUGGCGGUAGGCCUAACACAUGCAAGUCGAACGGCAGCACAGUAAGAGCUUGCUCUUACGGGUGGCGAGUGGCGGACGGGUGAGGAAUACAUCGGAAUCUACUUUUUCGUGGGGGAUAACGUAGGGAAACUUACGCUAAUACCGCAUAUGACCUACGGGUGAAAGCUGGGGAUCUUCGGACCUUGCGCGAUUGAAUGAGCCGAUGUCGGAUUAGCUAGUUGGCGGGGUAAAGGCCCACCAAGGCGACGAUCCGUAGCUGGUCUGAGAGGAUGAUCAGCCACACUGGAACUGAGACACGGUCCAGACUCCUACGGGAGGCAGCAGUGGGGAAUAUUGGACAAUGGGCGCAAGCCUGAUCCAGCCAUACCGCGUGGGUGAAGAAGGCCUUCGGGUUGUAAAGCCCUUUUGUUGGGAAAGAAAAGCAGCAGGUUAAUACCACGCUGUUCUGACGGUACCCAAAGAAUAAGCACCGGCUAACUUCGUG
rnacentral:rRNA from 1 species